rnacentral:lncRNA from 1 species
CCUAGCAUGCAUCUUUGGCUUCCUGAUUAUUCUCAAAACUACAACAAUCAAUCAAAGUUUAAGAGAAAAUAGCAGGUCCUUGUAGCUCCCAUACAUCGAGGACAGGUUGCACAGAAAUAAGAAAUUGCGAUCAAGUAAAGCUUUCAAUUAGGUACUCAUAAAUUAAAUAAUAAGGUUUUAUCCGGUUAAAGACGAGCAAAUUAACCCAGCAAUAAAUUGUAGAGCCAAAAUGGCAGCUAACUGGUGCUUAACAAUCAAUACAUGUAGUAAUCUAAUUCUUUUGCGCACUUUUGAGGUCAAGGAAUCAAAGAGUCAAAAUCAACCAAUCCAAGAGUAAAAAACCAAGAAAUGAGAUAGACAGAAAUCAGAGGUGAUCUUGGCUCCAAGGACAGUAAAUAUCUGACCUUUCCUUCGUUCUCUGUUUUUGGGUCUUCACCUGAGGCUGUCUAUUCGUUUUUUAUGUUUGUCGACCAAGAAGAAAAGAAAAUUCAGCUCUGGUCAUGUUAGUGUGCCAGAUCCAAGUAGGCCAGAUUUAUGGCCACCCCCUCUACCUACCUCAACACUUCAUCAUCUACAUCAAACCUAAAAGAAGCCCUAAAUUUUCCAAUUGAAGACUUAUUAAAAUCUUCCACGAUGCAAAGGUAAUUGCUUUAGGUCAAAAGGAAAAAAUCUUGCAGCAAUCAGAAAGUUUGAUGCUUUCUGCAGCCAAGCAGACAAGGAAUACUAAACAGUACCAUAACAUCCAUCCAUGGCCGUUACAGUAGCUGACAAACCUCGACUUGGCCCUAAAAUAAGAUUACUCGUGGCUUUUUUCAACAGAAAAUGUACCGGUAACCUGUAAAUUCCAGUUGCACAAAACCCCAACACCUCUUUUUUGGUAAAAGCGAGAAGAAAACAAAACAAAUCAACACAACUAGAGAGCUUCAGUGCACGAGACCAUCGAAUCGUCUUCUGUUCGCAAUUGGAUAAGAACAAUGACAAUUCCAGUUAUUGGAUUAUGUUAAUUCUGAGAUUCCUCCUCCUCCUACCCAACUCACCAUCUCACUUCAAUUUGAUUUUGUUCGAUAAUAAACUCUCCUUCCACUCCAUUCCUGUACAGCUUUGUAUCAACACCCAUUUCGCAAUUGAUCCCAGAUAUCCACCUAAAUUGAGGUUUGAGGAGUUGAAUUUCCGGCGAAACCAGGUCCAGUGGAGACAGAAGUGUAUUAAGCAACGUCGUCUGUAGAGUUUCGGUUUAGGUCUCAGAGUGACUUUUCGCUAUCUAUCUCACAGCAAGGAAAGUACUGAGUCUGAAGAAGAAGAGGAAGAGAGCCGAGCUUCGAAUAUGAAAUGGGUUGUGGCAUGGAUGGAAUUACGAAAUUGCCACCAUGGGGAUCGCCGGUUUUUCGCUAAAAAGUUGACACGUGUCAGGCUAUUAGGGGUUUUGAUAAUUCCGCUGCAAGAGAGAGAGAACUUGCAGGUCAGGAAAGAGAUGUUUUAACACAUCAAGUCUAAUAAAACUUAUUAAAUAUUUAAAUUUAUAAAAAUUAAAUUUAUAAUAAUCAUGAUAAUUAAUUAUAGAUUAAUAAUAUUAUUCUUAGAUUUAUAUAAAAAAAAUUUUAAAAAUUAUUCAUGAUUACAAUAUGCUUUAAUUUUUAUAAAAUAUAUUUUAUAAAAUUUUAGAAUAUUAUUAAUAAUCAAUAAAAAAAACUUAAUUUUUAUUUAAUUAUUUUAAAUUUUAUAGUUUCAAAUAUUUAAUAAAGUAUUCAAUAAAUUAAUUUUGAUUACUAUAUAUAAACUCAAAUAAAAAGCUAUGUAAUCUCCCUAAUAUUUAUGGUUUAUUUUCAUUUUUUUAUCUUAAUUAUGGUAUUUUUUAAAGAUUAUACUUUAAAAUUUUAUUAAUUUUAAUAAUAAUCUAGCAAUAUAAAAUAUUUAAUUUUUACAAUUUAAAUGAAAUUAUAUUUAUUACCCUUAUUAUUUUGCAGUAUCACUUUUUAAAUUAAUUAAUUUUUCUAAUGAUCGUAAAAUUAUAUUUAUUAAAAUUUAUUAAAUAUAAGUAUUAAAAAACUACACAAUAUUAUAAAAAAUGAAAUAUAUAUUUAUAACGUAAUAAUUUUAUUACAAGUUUAGAUAUUUAUGUAAUAUAAUAAAUAUUUUAAUAUUAUUUUUAAUAUUUGAUUCAAAAAAAUAUAUUAUUUUUAAUAUAUUAAAGUAGUGACACUGUAAUUUAAAAUAAUAUCAAUUAUAAAUUUAUUGAUAUUUAAUAUAUUUUAUUAUUUUUAAUAUAUAAAAAUAGUAUAAAAGUCGAUAAUAAAUAAAAUUAUACUAAAAAUAUUUAUAAUUAUAAAAUAAUAUUAUUUUAUGACUAAACAUGUAACAGAUUAAAAUAUAUUAUAAAAAAUAAUUAAAAAGAUUUUAUCACACUUGUACGAUAUUAUUAGAUUUUUUUAUAAAAAAUAUUAUUCUAUUAUUAAAUUGUAUAAUAUUUUAUAAUUUAUAAAUUAAUUAAUUAAUAUGUACAUUUAAAGUUAUAAGAAUUAAAUUUAAAUUUAAAAUUUAAAAUAUUUUAAUAUUAUUUAUAAUAUAAUAUUUUAUAAAAAUAAAUAUUUUAAUAUUAUUUUUAAUACAUUAAUGUAUUAAUAUUGAUAUUAAUAUAUAAAAGUACCAUAAAAAUCGAUAAUAAAAUAAACUACUCAGAAAAUAUUUAAAGUUAUGAAAUGAUAUUAGAUUGCAAUUAAAUAUGUACAAAAUUAUUGAAUUAUUUAUAAUUCAAAUGAAAAAUAAAUAAAUUAAUAUAAAUAUUUAAAAUUAUAAAAUUAAAAUUACAUAUUUAAUUGCACAAUAAUAUUAGUUUUAUAAUAUUAAAAUUAUAUAAAUUAAUAAUUUUAUUUAAAUAUUAAUAAUAAAUUAUUUAUAAUUCAUAAAAAUAAAUAAAUAAAUAUAAAUAUAAUUUAUUUUCCUAUUAUUAUACAUAUUUAAUUGUAAAAUAAUAUUAAUUUUAUAAUACUGAAUUAUAUAAUACAAAUAAUUUUUUAUUUAAAUAUUAAUAAUAAAAUAUAUUUAAUAUUAAUAUAUUAAAAAUUAUAAAGAAUAAUUAAAAAAAUUAUAUUAUAAUAUAAAUAUAUUAUAAUAAUAUAAAAAAUAAAAAAUAAAAAAUAAGUAAUUAUUGGUCUAGCCCCGCUCAUACGGGCGCCACGUCAAAAGUUCAGUCGUUAAAUAUUUUUGUUAUUGUCGGCUGGCCUUUGCCGAUCUAUAUGUUUUCCUUAAUAAUAAUUAAAAAAAAAAUUAUCUUUUGACUCAGCGCAUUUUACGAACCCGCUAAAAUUCAUAUUUGAUAAAUAAGUUUAUCCUCAGUCUAAAUUGAUAAAUUAUUUUUUUUAGCCCAAAAAAGUAAAAAGCCCAAAUAUUAGAAGUACCAAUAAAGAGAAUAGCAAUAAAGUAUUUAAUUUAAUUAGGAUGAAAUAAGUAUUUUAUUUUCUUUAUAUCUACAAAUAUAGAAUUAAUAAUUAAUAGAUAUAAUAAGCAUUUGCAUGGGAAGAAAAAAAAUUGAAGAGGGAGGAAUAUUUUCACUUAUUUUAUGUUAAUUAAAGGAAAAUAUGAAAAAAAAAUAAAAAUUAUUUUUCACUAUGGAGUGAAAAAUAAAUAUAAUUACAUUACAAAAGGUAAAAUAGUUAUUUUCAUAUUAAAAAAAUUAGUUUUCCUAGAAAAUAACUUUUUUUUACUUAUUUUAUUUUCUAUAUUAUUUUUCACUCCUAUUUUUAUUUUUCCUCUAAAAAAAUUCUAAACAAAGGUUAAGAAUGUGUUUAAUUAUAAUUAACAUGCAUGUUUUAUAAAAUUAAUUUUCUUAUUUUUCAAAAAAAUUUAAAAAAUAUGUUCAUUUUUAACUCUUUUAUGAGAAAAGAUAAAACGAAAUUUAUGUUUUCUAAAUUUUAUAAAAAAAUUAAAAAAUAUUAAAAUAAUUAUUUUGCAUAUUUUUUUAUUAUAUUAAAAAAUUUUAAAAAUAUAAUUUUUUAAAAUAAAAAUACAUAACUGUACAGAUAUUCUCUCUCUAUAUAUCCUUUUAUCUUCUCAUCUAAUCUGAUUCUGUCUCUCAUCUCAUUCUAAUCUUCUACUUCUCAUCUCAACUUCUUCUGUUUCUCUCUAAAUUCUGUUCACAGACUUUCUUAACAGUAUGCCUCAGGCGUCUGAUGGUCGAAACCUUAUACUAUGAAAAGAAUGUGAAGUCAAGUAAUCGGUUGGAAAAUGCAAAUACAGAUGGAUUUCUGUACCAUUUCUAAUCAAUAUGAUAAACACUUUACUGAUAUGUUAAAUGAGUGGGCAGGCCAACAAAAGGAAAAGCAUACAUGAAUCCUGAAAUUGCUACAAGAGACGGUUGCUUGCACUAUUUACGAGCAAACUUCAAAAUAAAAACCAAAGCAGGUUUGAAUUUGGAUUAAGCUAGUCAAUAACAAAAGAAACCCAACGAUCAAUAGUAAGCAUACCAACUAGCAUUCCUUGCAGAUUAGAAGGGCUUCCCGUAACCCUGUGGUGUUGGCUGCUCCCAAGCUGGUAUGAAGCCUGUGAAAAAAAAUAGCAAGAGAGUUACAAUAAAAGGAAGGUUUAAAGAAUCAUAAAAGGGUACUGCAAGAAAAAGUACUAUGCAAGCUAGAAGUGAAUUCUUUUUGCUGCACUAUGACUGAUGUUAAGUGAGAACCUUGAUCAAGACCAAAUCAAUUCUUAACAAUUUUCCUACUUUUAAGACAAACUAGACACCCCUGCCUCACGAAAACUAGCACCGUUUUGCCUUAUGGCAUAUUUCAAAUUUAAAAAAAAAUACAUGUUAUAUAAAACUCAAAAUGCUUCGAGCACAUCAACCCUCUCUAUAGCCCAGAGUAUGCUUCGUGCGCCAACUCUUUUCUUCAUGAAAAUUCAGGAUAUGCUUCUCUCCCUCUCCCUUGUGGCACAUUUUAAAUUCAAAAAAAAAAAACUUCUAUAUAGAACUCGGAAUGCUUUGUGCGCAUCAACCCUCUCCAUAACCCACAACUGUAGGAUGCUUCGUGCAAUGGGUAACCCCUUUUUUAUGAAAACUCAGGAUAUGGUUUGUUGAAUUCUCUCUCGACUCUAUCUCUCUCCCCCCACCCCCUGAAAUUUACAACGGAAAGAAAAUACUCCCUCCACAGAAUCUGACCUCAUUGUAUGCAUCUAAGUAAAACACUACAGAAUAAGGACAAUUAUCAUUGCUGCAUAUCAAAACAUAAAAUAAGUUUGGAAGAUAGAACCAGGGAUAUAACUUUCUAUGAUGAUAUUGUGUCGGAUCAAUCAGAUCAUAAUCAAUUCAAGAAUGUUGCACAUUCAUGUACGCUUGCAACAUUAUGCAUGGCUAGCAAAAGAUGUUUUAUCAAAAAUAAUACACUUGGACAUACAUGUUAUGAAGGAUCCCAACAAAGUAGCCGUGGCGAUGGAAGAGAACCUAAGUUAAACCUUAAUCCUUUCUUAUUUUAGUGACAAAUUUUGGCAUGGAUCACAUUCAAUUAGACCUGGCCAAAGCUUCAGUUCCAGGUCAGAACUUGCAGUUUCAGGAGCUUAAGGUUCACGGUUCAAGGGGACAGGAACCAGACCACAGGCUCCCCCUCUGGUUCCAGUUCGAUACUGGUUUUGCUAAAAUUCAACAGGUUGAAAAUUUUCACAACUUUAUAAUUUUUAUUUUAUAUAUGGUUCCGAUCUGGUUCUAAGGUCAAUCCAAUUUGGCCAAGUUUACAUUCAGAAUCAGCCUUGGUUGGAUCUACAUUCAAAGCAAUGCCCAAACAUCACCAAUCCCCAUCUUAUACUAAAUGUACCUACUACAACAGCAGACCUUGAAAGAAAUCCUUUAACCAUUAAUUGAAUCUCCGUGUUAGCAAAAGGACAAAAAAACGUUAAAACUAAAGUUGUAAGCUUUCCAUUAUAUUAGCAAAAAAUAUAUUCCAUAGACAUGUAUACCAUAACCAAAUUGACAUUGGGUGCAUAUAGUCCAUUAAGGCCUGCUUUGCAUUGAGGUUCUGGGCCAAAAAAGUGCUAUUCAAAAGAAGCACUGUUUUAGAUACUGUAGAAAAAGUUGUUAUUUUAGCGUUCUCAUUUUAGAUAUGUCAAAUUUAACUUCAAAUCAAUUUUUAACACCUUAUAGCUAAACUAUCUAAGAAGUGUUAUUCUCAACAUCAAUCCCAAAUGGAUUCUAACUUGCUAUUGCAAAAGCAUAUUAGGCAGGUCCACCACAUGCACUCUAAACAUAAAUCAAAUCAUGAAAUUAAAUAUCUGACAUACUCAAUGGUAUUUCUCCCAGAGACAUGUAAAUUGAGUCAUCAUCACCGAGAGUGCCCUGAAACAACCAGGAUAAGAAAAGAUAAGUUAAUCAUGAACUGCAUUAAGAAAAUGCAUCUAUCUGAGUAAUGCAUUGCAAUAUUGCACUAAAUAAUAGUAUGUAAAGAAAUACCGAUUUAAGGACAAAAAUUUGACAUGCAUCAAAAAUAAAACCCAGUGCACAUAAGAUGAAUAAUCUAUACUAUAUAUAAAAGUGGGAAAAGAGGGAAAUAUUAGAACUUCCUAAACUACCCCACUAUGUUUUAUUAAUCACAAUUUUAUUGUUAUUUAAAAAUUUUAAUUUAAUUAUUUAAUUAUAUUUGUAUUCUAUUUAAAUUUAAAUUGAUUAAACAAAUCUCUCAACAUUUAAAUUAUAGUUGAUUAAAUUUUAUCAUAGAAGAUGUUUUUUAACAUUUAAAUUCUAUUUAUUGAAAUUUUAUCAUAAGUUCAAUUGUAAUUUUUAUAAUCUAUUUAAUCUCUGUAAUCUCUAGAUUAUAUUAAAUCAAUCAUAUCUUAGAAUCAUAUCAAUUCUAUCAUUAUCUUUAUAGAUCCGUCUUUAUUUUUGUACUACUCUUAUAUAUAGAUAUCAAAAGAGAUUGUUCUAUCCAAUUAUUUCUUUCAUUUUUUUAUGGAAAUUUAGCAGAGGUUGGGAUUAUGAAAUCUUACGUCAUCAUCAUUUCAAAGGGAAAGAAAAUGAAUUCUUUAGAAAGAGGAGUUCAUAACACUUCUAGAACAAUAAAUUUGAAAAAAUAGUUCUCACUAUCGAUAAGAGUUCAACCAAGAACAAAAAGAUUAUGCAACCCUACAAGACCGAGAGAAAUGCUUAUUUUCUAGAGCCUUUUUCUGACUUUAUCUAUUAUUUUUACACCAUUACUUUGAAAUAUUAUUAUGCUCAUAAAUAAUAAUCAAUUGUUUAAAAAUAUCAAUAGAAUUUUAUUUUUUUAGUGAUAUUAGAUUUAAUUUUCUUAAAAUUAUGAAAAAUAAAUAAUUUCUUAACAAAAAAAAUACAUGCAAAGCAGGUCAAAGAAAUCUAGUUAGAUAAACAAACACAGGGUUAAUUCAAGGACAAACUUAAAUUUAAUCUCAUUGUCGGCACUUGAAAUUUUCUCAAGUAACAUAUCAAAUUUAACUCCUCCAGAAAUUAGGGUUAGAGAUUACGCAAAUACAUCAACAAAAAUCAUGUCGUAUAGAUGACUAUUUCUAUAGUACCUCUCCAUUAUGAAGACUCAUCUCAUUCUGCAGUGGAUUGAUGUCCUCUGUUACAGAAGUACAGUUUGAAAAAGUGGUAAGGAACUCUGAAAUUGUAAGACUAUCAUAGCUAUCUGGAACCUCAGUUAUAUCUCCAGCAUUCUGUGCAUUAUUCGGAAUCCCCUCUGUGCCAGUAAACGUUGUUUCCCUGAAUAAUUGAAAAACUUAAGACCAGAAACAGAAAUGCAAGCUUUGCAGAAACUAGCAAUUGCAUCUUACUGACAAACUGGAACGAACACAGGGGAAGAGUAAUAGACUAUAUAUUUUCAUUUGAGAAGUUGAAAGGGAUAUAAAAUAAGAAAAUAAUGAUAAGAGGCACAUACUCUCGCUGUGAAUUAUAAAAAGCCUUAUCUCCUGAGUUGGAAUCAUUCUCCAAAUCAAUGACUUCAAUAUGUUUGCCAUUAUUUGCAUUGCUUACUGACAAAUCAAUUUCAACCUGUGCAUCUUCUUUAUUGCUUGCUGGAAUAGACGGGUACACAAGAACUGGGUCAUUACAAUGGUAAUCAUUUAUAUCAGCAGCUUCCAUUAAAUUGAGGUCACAGAUCUUAAACGAACUUGGAAAAAGUUGUUUCUCUUGCGUGUACCCUGCACUUGGUUCACCAACUGACUUUUGAAAUUGAUGACUAUGAAUUGAGUUGUCUUGAGUGACAGCAACACUCACUGGAUGAUCAGGUGAAGGUUUCCCUGCUUGUGAGCUAUCUUGAUUUUGACUAUAAUUAGAGAGAUGAAGCUGGUCAUUGGCUUUACUAACCAAUGAUGGAAAACAUUCUCUAGGCUUCUUGGUUGCCUCAUUCAUAUCAUCAUCUUCAGCAGUUCGUUUCUCACCUACCUCCUUAACUGAUGUGGACCUUCCAAAGCUUGCCAUCCCCUGACUUAAUUCUUGCUUGCUGUCACGCAUAAAAGCCCUAUCUGGAAAGGAUUGAGACCUCAUGCAUUUACCCUGCCCAGAAACAAAUGGGGGGCCUAUUUCUCCAAUAUAUUCAUUAGAAUGUGCAGGCACUACUUUAGACAUUUCAAGAUCACAUUUUGAAUCCUGCGUUGUAUUUGGUAGUGAAUCACCGGUGGAGAAAUCAAGAGUGGCAUCUGGAACUGAGACUUCAGAUCCUUUGGGAGGCCCAACAUCAGAUGAUUUUUGCUCUUCCUUGUUGGGAACUUGGUCAACCUUGGGGACCCUGUACGUCAAUGCAGACCGUGUUUUAGUUGGGACCUUCACAAAUUUGCAGAAUGUUAGUAAAUCAGAUCCAUGCUUGCUAGAGAGAUCACCCUCCACUGCACAGGAGUGGAUAGGUGAGUCCUCAGAAAUAAUUUGUUUCUCGGUUUCAUGACUAUGAUUGUAGUCCAUCUCCUCAUUCCCAGAAUUCAAGUUUGCCAAAUCAUCAGACACCUUAGAAGGUUCCCCAUCAGUCUCAUCUUUCCCAAUGCUAAAAGAAGUUGCCUUGGAACCCAUGUCAUCUUUGAACUCUGCUCCUGAUUCAAUUUCAGUUGCCUCCUCACUCUCUGGUGCCGACCCACUCUGACCAAACUUCCCAUCAACAUCUUCACCAACUUGAUGCUCUUCAUAGUGUCCAGAAAUAGAAUCAUCAUCCCCCUCCGUAUCAAGAGACAUCUGAUUUCUAUCUGACCACGACCCGCUCCUCCCGUAUUCCCUGCCCCAAUCCGAGCUAUAAUUCCGAUGAUAAUACUCUCCUCUCCUCCUACCUUUUACAUGAUUUCUCGAAUUGAAAUCAUCAGAAUACCUUCUCCUACCUGCUCCAGCAUCAGAAACAACACUUCCUAGGCGGGAACGGGCAGAUGUUCGGCCCUCCUGUGCAAAGUCCUCUUGUACCCUAAAAUCCUGAUAGUCUCCAGCUUGCUUCCUUAAACUACCAUUCUGCCACUUACCAGAAAGUGCAUUCUCAGGUAACAAUCCCUUGGAAACUAAAUAUUCAGCUGCAAGUCUACCCGCUUCCAUCAAAAUGUCUCCUUUACGUGGUGGUGGCUGAGGUGGCUGUUGAAAAGAUUUGGGCUGGCCCUGGCCACGGCCAAAGCCACGAUUAUUGAAGCUUCUGUAUUCAGAAUUGUAAAAUCCAUGGCCUCUGGCUGAGCUAUCUGGGGAUAUCCUCGAGGCACCCAUCCCCAUCGAACUAGACCUGUACCCAUUUCCAGGACUUCGGUGCCUAGCAUGCAUCUUCGGCUUCCUGAUUAUUCUCAAACAGUAUUAAACUACAACAAUUAAUCAAAGCAAGAAAAGAUAGCAGGUGCUUGUAGCUCCCAUAAAUCGAGGACAUGCAGUACAGAAAUAAGAAAUUGCGAUCCUGAAGCAAGUAACGCCUUCAAUUAGGAACCAUAAAUUGUAAGGUUUUAUCUUGUUAGAGACGAGCAAAUUAACCCAGCAAUCAAUACAUGUAGUAAUCAAAGAGCCAAAAUGGCAGCUAACGGGUGCUUAUUGCGCACUUUUGAGGUCCAGGAAUCAAAGAGUCAAAAUCAACCAAAUCCAAGAGUAAAAAAACCAAGAAAUGAGAUAAUCCACAAAUCAGAGACGAUCUUGGUUCCAAAGACAGUAAAUAUCUGACCUU